rnacentral:rRNA from 1 species
UACGAAGGGGGCUAGCGUUGCUCGGAAUCACUGGGCGUAAAGGGUGCGUAGGCGGGGCUUUAAGUCAGGGGUGAAAUCCUGGAGCUCAACUCCAGAACUGCCUUUGAUACUGAAGAUCUUGAGUUCGGGAGAGGUGAGUGGAACUGCGAGUGUAGAGGUGAAAUUCGUAGAUAUUCGCAAGAACACCAGUGGCGAAGGCGGCUCACUGGCCCGAUACUGACGCUGAGGCACGAAGGCCAGGGGAGCAAACGGG